UACGGGGGGGGCAAGCGUUGUUCGGAAUUACUGGGCGUAAAGGGCUCGUAGGCGGCCAACUAAGUCCGACGUGAAAUCCCCAGGCUUAACCUGGGAACUGCGUCGGAUACUGGAUGGCUUGAAUUCGGGAGAGGGAUGCAGAAUUCCAGGUGUAGCGGUGAAAUGCGCAGAUAUCAGGAGGAACACCUAUUGCGAAGGCAGCUCGCUGGGACGUAACUGACGCUGAGACGCGAAAGCGUGGGGAGCAAACAGG
rnacentral:rRNA from 1 species